AAGUCGAGCGAACGGACGAGAAGCUUGCUUCUCUGAUGUUAGCGGCGGACGGGUGAGUAACACGUGGAUAACCUACCUAUAAGACUGGGAUAACUUCGGGAAACCGGAGCUAAUACCGGAUAAUAUUUUGAACCGCAUGGUUCAAAAGUGAAAGACGGUCUUGCUGUCACUUAUAGAUGGAUCCGCGCUGCAUUAGCUAGUUGGUAAGGUAACGGCUUACCAAGGCAACGAUGCAUAGCCGACCUGAGAGGGUGAUCGGCCACACUGGAACUGAGACACGGUCCAGACUCCUACGGGAGGCAGCAGUAGGGAAUCUUCCGCAAUGGGCGAAAGCCUGACGGAGCAACGCCGCGUGAGUGAUGAAGGUCUACGGAUCGUAAAACUCUGUUAUUAGGGAAGAACAUAUGUGUAAGUAACUGUGCACAUCUUGACGGUACCUAAUCAGAAAGCCACGGCUAACUACGUGCCAGCAGCCGCGGUAAUACGUAGGUGGCAAGCGUUAUCCGGAAUUAUUGGGCGUAAAGCGCGCGUAGGCGGUUUUUUAAGUCUGAUGUGAAAGCCCACGGCUCAACCGUGGAGGGUCAUUGGAAACUGGAAAACUUGAGUGCAGAAGAGGAAAGUGGAAUUCCAUGUGUAGCGGUGAAAUGCGCAGAGAUAUGGAGGAACACCAGUGGCGAAGGCGACUUUCUGGUCUGUAACUGACGCUGAUGUGCGAAAGCGUGGGGAUCGAACAGG
rnacentral:rRNA from 1 species